AUUACAUUCGUAAGGAGGCCAAACCAAAGGACAAAGCCGGACUGAUAACGGCGAUUCGGACAUUUUGGACGUCCAAGCUCACACGGGAGCGCUGCAAUAGGUACAUUGAUCACCUGGAUACAGUCAUCGACCAAAUCAUCGAUCUAGGUGGUGAGCCCACUGGUAGGUGAAGGGAAACAGCGCACUACUGCACAAACAACAGGCCGAGUCGCAGGAGACACAGCGAAAGGGACGGAACGCAAUUCUGGUUAAGCCGGGCAGAAAGGAUGUUUUCUGCUGUCUUUAUCUGCAGUGUAGCCUACAGUACAUUAGGCAACUUGUAAAGGCUGCUGUGUAGGCAUUGUCUACUAAAACUCUGUAGGCCUACUUGUGAAAUAAAUUUACACUCUUGCUGAAAUUUCAA